AUGGGAAAUAAGCAAGACGAACUCCAACUCCUAGCACAGCACCACACAUACGAUGUCAUAGGCAUCACUGAAACCUGGUGGGAUGACUCCCAUCACUGGAAUUUAACCAUUGAGGGCUAUAACCUCUUUCACAUAAAUAGAACAAAGGGGAGAGGAGGGGGAGUAGCUUUAUAUGUCAAAAACAGUUACGUUGCAGAAGAAAUGCAAGACUGUAAUCCGGGAAACCAGCUUGAAAGCAUCUGGAUAAGAAUCAAGGGAACCGGGACUCAAAAAGAUCUUGUCGUGGGUGUCUACUACAGACCUCCGAGUCAGGAUGAAGGACUUGAUGAAGCCUUCUGUCAACAGCUGACCAAACAGGCACAAAGAAGAGAUAUAGUAGUCAUGGGCGAUUUCAAUUAUCCCGAUAUCUGCUGGAAAACAAACUCAGCCAAGAGUACAAAGUCCAACAAAUUCCUCACUUGCCUUGCAGAUAAUUUUAUGGUCCAGAAGGUAGAAGAGGCAACAAGGGGAUCAGCAACUCUUGAUCUAAUCUUAACAAAUGUGGAAGACCUGAUCAAUACAGUUGAAGUGGUUGGAUCCUUAGGGGCAAGUGACCAUGUGCUCCUGCAGUUUGCAAUACAAAGGAAUGCUGAAACUAAGACAAGUCAAACACGCAUUCUGGACUUUAAGAGAGCUGACUUCCAAAAAAUGAAGGAAUUACUGAGCGGCAUUCCAUGGACGCCGAUAUUAAAAAACAAGGGAGUUAAGGAUGGAUGGGAGUUUUUCAAAAGAGAAAUACUCAAGGCGCAAAUGCAAACAGUGCCAACAAAGAAGAAAAAUAAGACAAGUGCAAAGAAGCCAGAAUGGAUGUCCAAAGAACUUCUAACUGAGCUAAAGCUCAAAAGUGACAUGCACAAGAAGUGGAAAAGGGGAGAAAUCACCAAAGAAGAAUUCAAACGUAUAGCCAACUCCUGUAGGGAAAAGGUUCGCAAGGCUAAAGCGCAAAAUGAGCUCAGGCUUGCCAGGGACAUAAAAAACAACAAAAAAGGUUUUUUUGCUUAUGUUGGUAGAAAAAGGAAGAAAAAGGAGGCGAUAGGGCCACUGCAAGGAGUAGAUGGGGUGAUGGUGACAGGGGAUAGGGAAAAGGCAGAACUGCUUAAUGCCUUCUUUGCCUCGGUCUUCUCACAAAAAGAAAGCCAUCUUCAACCUCAGCAACAUGGAAUGGACGAAGGAUUGGGGGAAAUCCAACCCCAAAUAGGGAAACAAGUUGUCCAGGAACACCUGGCCACUCUAAACGAAUUCAAGUCCCCAGGGCCAGAUCAGCUACAUCCAAGAGUAUUGAAGGAACUAGCGGAAGUUAUUUCAGAACCACUGGCAAUCAUCUUCGAGAGUUCUUGGAGAACAGGAGAAGUCCCAGCAGAUUGGAGGAGGGCGAAAUAUGAUUGCCAGUGGUUCUGAAAUAACUUCCGCUAGUUCCUUCAGUACUCUUGGAUGUAGCUGAUCUGGCCCUGGGGACUUGAAUUCGUUUAGAGCGGCCAGGUGUUCCUGGACAACUUGUUUCCCUAUUUGGGGUUGGAUUUCCCCUAAUCGUUCGUCCAUUUCAUGUUGCUGAGGUUGAAGAUGGCUUUCUUUUUGUGAGAAGACUGAGGCAAAGAAGGCAUUAAGCAGUUCUGCCUUUUCCCUGUCGCCAUCACCCCAUCUUCUCCUUGCAGUGGCCCUAUCGCCUCCUUGUUCUUCCUCUUUCUACCAACGUAAGCAAAAAAACCUUUUUUGUUGUAUUUAAUGUCCCUGGCAAGCCUGAGCUCAUUUUGCGCUUUAGCCUUGUGAACCUUUUCCCUACAGGAGUUGGCUAUACAUUUGAAUUCUCCUUUGGUGAUUUCUCCCCUUUUCCAUUUCUUGUGCAUGUCUCUUUUGAAUCUUAGCCCAGUUAGAAGUUCUUUGGACAUCCAUUCUGGCUUCUUCGCACUUGUCAUAUUUUUUUAAAUGUUUUUAAGGAGAUUUUAUUUACAGAAAGAAAGAAAAAUCCCAAAAAUUCUGGGAUGACCCAAACCUUGUAAGGUUUGGAGAACUAAAAGUGGUAGAUAUGUCCUCCAUGUGUGGUGAUUUUUACCCCUCUAACCCUAUAGGAGCCCCGGUGGCGAAGUGUGUUAAAGCACUGAGCUGCUGAACUUGCAGACCGAAAGGUCGCAGGUUCAAAUCCCAGGAGCGGAGUGAGCACCCACUCUUAGCUCCAGCUUCUGCCAACCUAGCAGUUCGAAAAAUGCAAAUGUGAGUAGAUCAAUAGGUACCGCUCUGGCAGGAAGGUAACAGCACUCCAUGCAGUCAUGCCGGCCACAUGACCUUGGAGGUGUCUAUGGACAACGCUGGCUCUUUGGCUUAGGAAUGGAGAUGAGCACCAACCCCCAGAGUCAGACAUGACUGGACUUAACGUCAGGGGAAACCUUUACCUUUACCUUUAACCCUAAAACUGAGUGGAAAGGGAUCCUGGGCAGCACUCCCAUUGCUACCAAUGGAAUGAAUGCAUUUGUAUAUUUGGAUGGUGAAGCAAAAGAGCUCAUUCGGAUUGGCCUCAGUUUCUGAAGUGGCUGACGGAUACGGAAAUGGGGCCAUAUGAAUGGGACAAACAGAAAUGGGUCACGAUUUUAUACAAAUGCACAAGACUACAGUCUAUAUGUGCCCGUGAUUUCUAGACUAUUUCAAGAUCAUUGCAGUCUUAUGAACACUAUCAAUGGCUGUGUAUUCUGCAUUCCACGUGUUCCAACUUGGGAACACAUGGAAGCAAAAUAUCUGGGGAAUUGAUAGGCAAACAAAGAAAAACAAAGACCAAGAGCAACUGCAAUAGCAGAAGCUUCCCAGUAAGACCCUUUUUUUCCUUCUCCUUAGGAGGCUGGAAAAGUCAACUGGAGUACAGUUAAAUGAGAGCUAUUUGGUGAACUCUGUUUGUGCUGAUUGGAGGGAGCAGCUGGGCGCUUUUCACAGUACAAGGGAUGCUAAUGGUCGAGGAAAGAAAUUAGUCCCACUACUUUAAAGUUUGAAUGUUUUAUUGAGCUGAGAAAUCAGGGCUUAUUCCUACAUUAAUUCCUAUUGAUGACAGAUCAGAUCUUCCUUUGUACUCCUCUUAAAAGGCCAACCAUCCAGUUAAGCUGUCCCUCUAGGUUUUCCUCAGGAUUGUGCUGAGUUGCAAAGUUUCCAUAAAUUUAUCUGAUUUUGCAUUUGAAUUAUGAAAUGAAGGGAAGAGGAAGGCAGAUAACCAAGCUAAAGUGUCCCUCCACUAACCUUCCUGACAGAGACCCUAUGUACAGUUUCCAGCAUGAAUGAUACAAUAUGGAGAAAUUAAUGGAUCAGAAAAUGUGUAGACCAUGUGCUGUAAACAAACAGUCAGUUUCAAACCCACUUCAAGCACAGAUAGUUGUUUAAUUCCUUUUUCAAGUAGCAAUGGUACAAUUGAGUUAUAUUACAAUUGUUACUUAAGAAGAGAUAAGUUGGCCAUAAUGCCAUUUCACAUGGGUUAGUAGUAAAGUCAGUCUAGUCAUGUCCGACUCAUGAGGAGCUGGAGUUGACAAAGGGAGCUCACCCGCUCUCCACGGAUGCAAACUGCUGACCUGUUGAUCAGCAGUCCUGCUGGCAGAAGGGUUUAACCAUCAUUUCUUCAAGAGAAAAGGGGGAAAAAUUGAUUGGAGAAAAAUGAUUUUUAGAGAAAUUGGAAAAAACACCAUAAUUUAA
ensembl:lncRNA